AAGAAAUUUGAGAUGCUGUUAUAGUAGUCAAAUUAUUGUGUAACAGAAGGAUUUGUGACUUGUGACAAGAUAAUAGGUCAUCAAGCAACUUAUUAUUGGGAUAUUGCUUUCAUAUAGAUGACUAUAAUUUUGAGUAUUUGAUAUCUGAUUUCUUGCAUGAUUUUGUAUUAUAUGUUGUAAUAUUUUUAUGUCAUCAUCUUAUUUCCAAAGCAAUUAAGUAUUUUGCCCUCUUUAUGCUUGAAGAUUGGAUUUGGGUAGUGUUGCUAAGUUGUUUACACAAUCUUGCUUGCUAUUGGUUUCAU
rnacentral:misc_RNA from 1 species